rnacentral:lncRNA from 1 species
UUUUUUUUUUUUUUUUAAAGACAGUUACUGAAAAUGAAUAAAGGAAAAAAUGUGCACAUCUAAAAGUGGUUACAUAAGCAGUCAGUUUUGAGUCAAUCAGACUAAUGAUUCCAAUAUGAAUAAUAAAUGACAGUUUAGGAAAAUUCAAUUUCAUCCCACACAGCAGCACUUUGCCUCAAGAUAGUUUUCUGUGUCACUUGACACAGCCUUCGUUUCAGGUUUCAGAUUUUGGUAGAUCUUGUAUUCAAAAUAAAUUAAUUAGGUUGAACACAUAGAGUUAGCUCAGUGGUAUUUGACCUUCUUGCCAUGAGCAAUAACUAGUUAGAAAGCCUGAGUUCGCUGACUUCCCCGGCUAAUUCUCAUUCAUUCGUUUGGUAUGGAUUCAUUUCCUCUCGGCUACCCUAAGCACUGAACGGAGGGCAGUACUGAGCUGGAAUCCCAGCCUUCCACCCCUACCUUAACCUUCCCGUGCCUCAGCUUCCCCAUCUAUAGAUGAGCGAUGGUAGCUCUUCCUCCCUCGUGCAGCGGUCGGUCAUGGGGAUUCAGGGAUUCGAUGUAGACCCACGAUCCCAGGUGGCAUAUUAUCCAAAUGGACGGAUUAUCGUCACCACAGAAAUAUCGAUGUGAUGGCGGCUGCCCCAGACCCUGCUGGGUAUAUGUUCUCCGAGGCUUUUCGAAAAUCCAAAUCAUCCAGAAUUCUGAAACACAUCUGGCCUAAGGUUUGGAAAGGGAUUGUACAGCUGUGUGUGUAAAACGCUUAGCGUGGUGCCUGGCACAUAAUAGAUGCUGUGUAUAUGGCAGCCAUGUAUCGUUGUUGUUAUUACUUGAAGCGCACACCACAGCCUCCGUAAUCAUUAUCAUGGAAAUGCAGAUGGUAACCACCACGAUGAGAUGCCAUUACACACCCAGCUCGGCAGCUGGAAGAAAAAGAUGGAGAUGAGGUCAGAGAGGGACUCGGAGGCCUUCCAGGGACGGAGGCUUUUCCCUGAAGGUACAGUGGGAGGGUGCUGAGCAGAGGAGGGAUGCGUUCUGACUCAAGGUAGCAGAGUCCCUCUGGCUGUGUGUGGGAGCAGGGGUGGGAGCCAGGAAAUCAGAGAGGGAGCGCCUGCUGUGGUUCACGGUGCAGGCCACAGGGGUGGGAGGUGAAGCAGGGUGAUUUGAAGAUGGAGCCAGUAGUAACUAUGAAUGGACUGAGUGUGGGGGUGAGCGCAGGGGAGGGUGGAGGAGGACACCAAGGUUUUGCCCUGAACACCAAGCGAAUAGUGAAGGCGGUGAGCUGAGGACCAGCAGAGCAGAGAUUUGUACGAAGGUAAAGGUGGUGGAAGAAUCAAGGAUAGAGCUGCUGGAGUGGAUUCAGGAGAAACAGGGCUUUGCCUUUUUUUUUUUUUUUUUUUUUUUUAAGAGCAGUUUUAAAAGGUGCACAGGGAGUUCCUUGGUGGCAUAGCAGUUCCGGAUCAGCCAUUGUUAUAGCUGCGGCUGGGGUCACUGCUGUGGCAUGGGUUUGAUCCCUGGCCUGAAACUUAUACAUGCCAUAGGUGUGGCCAAAAUAAAUAAAAGGUGUCCAGAAAAUUGGCCCCAAACAGGAAGUUCCCACAAGCUCCCCGACUCCCCGCUGCAGUUUACCCAUUUAUUUACACUCGUAUUAAUACAGCACUUUUUUUUUUUUUUUGCAAUUGAUGAGCCAGUACUGAUGGAUGCCUCGUUAUUAACUCAAGUCCACAGUUUCUAGUCCGGGUUCAUGGUUUGUGUUCUACAUGCCAUGGCUGCGACCCACGAGAUGUGGAUCCACCACAGCGGUAUUGCACCGAGCAGCCCCACAGCCCGGUGCUCUGCCUGCGUGUUUGUCCCCCACCCCCACCCCCCACCGAUCUUCCUGCUGAAGAACAGCAGGGCUUGGCGUCCAUCUCCCUGGUAUGAACCCGCGGCCCCAUGCGUUUUGUCUGUUGACGUGUCUUUAGCGCUUAGGCCACACCUGACACACAGUGGCUGCACAGUAAAAAUACGCUCAGAUAAUGUCUUCUUGGGUUGGGAGGGAUUCGAACCAGAAGGGACCCUCGGCAUCAGAGGCUUUCACUCCAGAGUGUGACAAUAUGUUCUGUGGGUCUGGACUUCUGUCCCCAGUAGGAUAAGGGGAAGGGAUUAUCAAAAAUGUAACCCAGACAUCUAACCCUUUACCGAGUGCCUGGCCUGUGGACAGGACUGACGUGGCUUCCCCGCCUGUAAAAUGGGAUGGUAAUAGUAUUGACCUCAUAGAGCCGUGUAAGGUGUCAGCGAGAUAAUGCUUCGAAACACUGUAGGUGUUUAAUAAACAUGAGCCGUUGUUAAAUGUAUUAAUAUCAUUGCCAUUAUUCUGACUUCCUGGCAUUCACCAUCUAGUGGGAGGAGAUUGAUAGCAAAUAAACACUCAAAUAACUGCAUAAUUUAACUGGUAACUAAACCCUAAAGGAGAAGUCCAGAGUGCCUUGAGAAAGAAUAACAGAGCUGGAGGUGGGGUCUUGUUUGAGGUUGGAGUGCAGUUGGGAGAGUCUGAGGAAGUGACCUAGAAGCAGAAACUCGCCCAGGGGUGGGCCGGAGGCAGGGGGUUUGGAGCAAGAAGAAUAGCCGGUGCAAAGGCCCUGAGGUGUGUUGGAAGGACAGAAGCCAGGCUGCCCUGAGCAGAGUGAUGGCGGGGAGGGUCGGUAGCCCGGGUCACACUGAACCAGUGAGCCAUCCCAAAGGUGUGGACUUUGUUCCCAUGUUCCCUGAGAGCCACGGAAGGAUUUUAAGGAGAGCAAUGACAUUGGUCUGGUUUGGUUUUUUAACUGCCAUGUGCACUUUCAAGGCCUGCUGUCCUGACUGCUUUCCUCCCCUGGUUCAGUUUGUACCAAGAGCUGCAAGCCAGGGUCAGGGUCAGGGUCAGAGCUUCAGGCCCUCCCCUGCCAUGUGGCACCUUGAAGUGCUGUACUGUCCUCUGACCAUCAACCUGCAGGGCUGGAAGGAGCUUUAUGUAAGGAGAAGGUGCCCUGGUUCCAGACUCAUCAGUCCUUAGGAAGGAAGCAGCUUGCUGAUCCAUCCCAGGCCACGGGGAGGCCUGAAAACAGGUCACCGCAGCACUGCCUCUUCCUCAGAAAGGCCUGAGGCCUCACUGACUCACGAUGCCUUCCCCUCAGAGGAGGGACCCCAGCCUGCUCCCUGUGAAGAUGGCCUCGUUUCCUCCCCGGCCUGCAGCUGCCAGUAGCCCCAUUCCCACCCCUUCCCCUAGUUGGUUGGUAAGAUGCCAGCUAAAACUCGUCUCUCAGUUCCCUCUUCUGGGCCAGGCCCUGGAGAGAUGUGGGAUGGGUGGGGGGGCAGUUUCCAGAUUACCUUUGUGGCCCCAGCUCUGCACAGGAAGUAGCGAUUUUGUGGGCCAAGAGUUUGGGGAGGCCCAGUGCUCCAGCCCCUCAGCGAGGACCCAGCUAAAUUCUCCAGCCCGGGAAUGAUGUGAGAUUGCCAGCCUGGGGAAAGGCCCAGGGACCUGGGCAUCUCUUCAGAGCUUGCCCUGGUGUCCCUCUGCUGGGGCGACCUCUCCUGGUUACUGGAUAAUUCCCUUCUCCUGCCACUCCUGUGGCUGCCCAUUCCCAGAGGUGGGCUUUGACCCUGUGGAGAGGGGGCCCACCUUCUGAGCACUUGGGUGCAUCCAGUCUCAGGAAACCCACAGAGCUUUUUUUUUGGCUUUAUAGGGUUGCACCUAUGGCAUAUGGAAGUCGAAUCAGAGCUGCAGCCGCCAGCCUACACCACAGCCACAGCACUGUGGGAUCCGAGCCAUGUCUGCAACCCACACCUCAGCUCACAGCAAUGCCAGAUCCUCAACCCAGUGAGCAAGGCAAGAGAUCGAGCCCAAGUCCUCAUGGAUACUAGUUGAGUUCGUUACUGCUGAGCCACAACGGGAACUCCGCCACAGAACUUUGAACCGUGGCUUCUCAGCAGUGCCACAUGAGUAGUCGCGAUGCCUUCCCAACCCGCUAUGCUGUGAUAAUCUAGAGGGGAAAAGGACCUGAAAAAGACUGGACGUGUGUACGUGCAUCACUGUGCUGUGCAGCAGAAAUUGUCACAACUUUGUAAAUCAGCUAUACUUCAAUAAAGCUUUUAAAAAUGAAAAAUAACACAGAUGCAUUCCACAUCCAGGCCUGCUCCUUGCUGCUAAGAUCUUGCUCAUUCCUCCUGACAACCCUAGGAGGUAGGUACUCCUAGGAAACAAAUGAGGAAACCAGGGCACAGAUAAGUCAGGUCACUUGCCUAAGCCACCCAGCUAGGAAGGAGUAGAGUGAGGAUGUGAACCCAGGCCCUCUGGCUUCAUAAUCACUAUGCUGUGCCUCCUGUCUGCCCACUCUCCCUAUCAUGUCACUCUGUUUGUUUUCUUCUCAGUACUUAUCAUACUCUGUUGAAUUGUAGCCUCUGUACACCCUUUAGCACGUAAGCUCCUAUUGGGUAAUACGAAUUACGUGCCUGGUUUGUUGAUAGAAACCCAACAUCUAGCACAGCAUCUGGCACACAGGAGCUGCUCAGGAAAUACCUGUUGAAUGAAUGCCAGUGGUGCCAGUGACGAGAAAUGUGGAGGAACUGGAUCUCUCCUUCUUUGUGGGUGGGAACGUCCAAGGGUAGAGGCACUCGGGGAAACGGAUUGGCAAAUUCUGAAAAACUAAAUAUGCACCUGUCAUACGGCCCAGGCAUUGCACUUCUGUGCAUUUAUCCCAGAGAAGUAAGACUUACGUUCACACAAAAACCUACAUACAGUUGUUCACAGCGGCUUAUUUAUAAAAUAGCCUAAAACUGGGAACAGUCUAGAUAUCCUUAGAUAAAUGGUUAAAAUGUGGUACAUCCAGGAAUUCCCUUCAUGGCUCAGCAGUUAACGAACCCGACUAGGAUCCACGAGGAUGCAGGUUCGAUCCCUGGCCUCGCUCAGUGGGUUGAGGAUCCAGCAUUGCCCAGAGCUGUGGUGUAGGUCGCAGACUCGGCUCAGAUCUGGCAUUGCUGUGGCUGUGGCGUAGGCUGGUGGCUGCAGCUCUGAUUAGACCCCUAGCCUGGGGACCUCCAUAUGCCACAGGUGCAGCCCUAAAAAGCAAAAAAAAAACCCACAACCCUGUCGUAUAGCUGUACCACGACAUACUAAUCAACGAUAGAAGGGAAUAAGCUAUUCAUACAUGCACCAGUUUGCAUCAACCUGAGGAAAUUGUGCUGAGUGAAAAAGCAAAUCCGAGUGUUCCUCUGAGGUGCAGUGGGUUAAGUAGCCUCAUAACCUACGCCACAGCUGUGGCUUGGAUUUGAUCCCUGACCUGGGAACUUUCAUAUGCUGCAGGUGCAGUCCAAAAAGAAGAGAGAGGGGGAAAAAAGCAAAUCCCAAAUGGUUACAUACAAGAUGAUUCCAUUUUAUAUUACUUUUUUUUAACUGUAUACUCCACAUGAUUUUAUUUUUUCUGCUCGCUGUUGAUAUUUAUUCUUUUUUGUGUAUAAUUUGUAAAGGUUACACCCCAUUUACAGUUACCACAAAACAUUGGCUGUAUUCCCGUGUUAUACAGUGCAUCCCUGUAACCUGUCUUACACCCGAGUUUGUACCUCCCACUCCCCAACCCCAAUAUUGCCCCGCCCCUGUAACGACUAGUUUGUUCUCUACAUCUGUGAGUCUGCUUUCUUAUUAUAAUCACUAGUUUCCUGUACUUUUUUUUAAUGGCCUCACCUGUAGCAUGUGGACGUUUGAGGGCCAGGCAUUGACUCCGAGCCGCAGCUGCAGCAAUGCCCUUUUUUAGGGCUGCAUGCUCGGCAUAUGGAGGUUCCCAGGCUAGGAGCCCACAGCCACAGCCACAGCAACGCAGGAUCCAACUGUGUCUACGACUUACACCACAGUCCACAGCAAUGCCAGAUCCCCAACCCACUGAGCAAGGCCAGGGAUUAAACCCGCAGCCUCAUGGUUCCAGUCAGAUUCGUUUCCGCUGCACCAUGAUGGGAACUCCAGCAAUGCCCUAUUCUUUAACCCACUGUCUUGGGCCUGGAAUCAAACCUGGCACCUCUGCAAUGACCCGAGCUGCUGCAGUCGGAUUCUUAACCCACUGUGCCACAGUGAGAACUCUUUGAUUGCUGUAUUUUUUUAGGUUCCACAUGUAAAUGAUAUCAUACGGUAUUUGUCUUUCACUCUGUCUGACUUAUUGCACUUAGCAUAAUGCCCUGAAAGUCCAUCCAUGUUGCUGCAACACACUACGUUUAUAAAUGGCAAAAUCGUACAAAUGGAGAACAUAUUGGUGGCUGUCACGGGUUAGGGACAGGGGGUUACGGAGGAGUGGGUUUGGUCAUAAAAGGUGCCACAAGGGAUCUUGGUGGUAGUGGAACAGAUCAUAACUUGGUUGUAAUGGUGGAUAGACAGACGUACACAUGUGAUGAAAUGGUAUAAAACUGAAUACACACACACACAGACCAGUGACUGUAGGAAAUGUGAAUGAAAUCAGAUUGUAUCAAUAUCCAUAUCCUGGUUAUGAUAUUUAUGAUAUUAUACUUCAUCUUUACAAAAUGUUACCGCUUGCCCAGUGGGUUAAAGUGCAUACAGUAUCUGUCUGUAUUGUCAUACAAGUGUGUGUCUACAGUUAUCUCAGUCAAAUGGCUGUUUUAUUUUUAUUUUUAUUACUCAAUGAAUUUAUUACAUUUAUAGUUGUCCAAUGAUCAUCACAACCCAAUUUUAUAGCAUUUCUAUCCCAAACCCCCAGCGCAUCUCCCCACCCCCCAAAUGCCUCAUUUGGAAACCAUAAAUUUCUCAAAGUCUGUGAGUCAGUAUCUGUUCUACAAAGAAGUUGUCUGUCCUUUUUUCAGAUUCCGCAUGUCAGUGAUAGCAUUUGAUGUUGGUGUCUCAUUGUCUGACGGAUUUCACUUAGCAUGAUAACUUCUAGGUCCAUCUAUGUUGCUGCAAAUGCUAUCAUUUCUUUCCUUUUAAUGGCUGAGUAAUAUUCCAUUGUGUGUAUGUACCACGUUUUCUUGAUCCAUUCCUCCGUCAAUGGACAUUUAGGCUGUUUCCAUGUCUUGGCUAUUGCAAAUAGUGCUGCAGUGAACAUUGGAGUACAUGUGUAUUUUCGAGUCACAGUUUUCUCUGGAUAGAUGCCCAGGAGUGGGAUUGCUAGAUCAAAUGGUAGUUCUAUGUUUAGUUUUCUGAGGACUCUCCAUACUGUUUUCCACAGUGGUUGCACCAAUUUACAAUCCCACCAACAGUGUAAUAGGGUUCCUUUUUCUCCACACCCUCUAAAAUGGCUAUUUUUAAAAGUUGCCAAUAAGACUGGAGGAGAGUGAAAGGGGAGGUGGAGGGUGACUCUGGAGAGGCAGGCAGAGCACAGGGCCUGUAGGCCAUGUAGAAGAGUUCAGAGUUUACCCUGAGGUCAGUCCCAGGAGGGUUUCAGGCAGGACAGGGACCUGGCCAGGUCUGCAUUUUUAAGUGAUAACUCUGGCUGCCACCCUGAGAGACUGGGCUCAGAGAAACUGGAGGAAAGAGCUUACAGCCAGGGGACCUGAGGGUGGAGAAAAGCAAACUGGCUGGAGGGUCUUUUAGGGCCGCAGCAGACCAGCCUCCGAAGGAGAGGGUCAGGCCUGACUCCUGGAACAGGGCACUCCAUUAAUAGGCGUCAUCAGCUGUGUCUUGUUUGGGGUGUGAGUUACACAGUGUCGCGUGUCGAAAUUCAACAAACUGUAAAACAAGUACAUUUUCUAUAUGUAAUUACACUUCAAUAAUUAGCUAGAUAGCAUCAAAUCAAAAUAACAACAGAGCUCACGUUUAUUAAGCCUUUAUUCUGAGCCGUAUACACGUGUUCGUUCAUUUUACCCAUACAUUUCUGUGAGAUGAGAACUUCUGUUCUCAUUUUCUAGAUGAGGCAACUGAAGUGAAUUCAGCCAGGGACCCAGGGCUGCCUCAUAGCAGAGCCUCGAAUGGCCCUGGGACAGGCCAGCUUCAGAGGGCAGGUCCCUUUGACUCCCCCUUGGGCUCAGUCAGGGCUUUCCCUUGGUUCUGAGGGAGGGAUGACCCCACAGCCGGUGGGGUCUCCUUGCUGAGGUCCCAGGCCGUGCGCCGUCUCAGAGCCCAGCAGUAGUCCGAUCUCAGGGUGCCCAGAUCCCAAAGUUCCACCUGUGAUUCGGGACCGGAGCCACUGCAGGAGAGCCAGGCCGGGCUUUCUUGUCCUGUCCUCUCAUCGACAGCUCCUGCCAGCCAGGGAUUAGAAUACAGGAAGAAAUAGAAUACAGGAAACUGUUAGCAGGAGAAAUAGAAUACAGGAAACUGGGUGCAGCUCGGCUCUCAUGAAGAAUGAAGGAGACGGGAGUUCCAGGCAUUGCUCAGUGGAAAUGAAUCAGACUAGUAACCAUGAGGAUGCAGGUUCGAUCCCUGACCUCGCUCAGUAGGUUAAGGAUCCCUUGUUGCCAUGAGCUGCAGUGUAGGUUAAAGUUGCAGCUUGGAUCUGGUGUUGCUGUGGCUGUGACAUAGACCAGCAGGCAGCUACAGCUCCGAUUGGACCCCUAGCCUGGGAACCUCCAUAAGCAGCAAGUGUGGCCCUAAAAAGACAAAAGACCAAAAAAAAAAAAAAAAAAAAA